UAACACAUGCAAGUCGAGGGCAGCGGAGAGGUAGCAAUACCUUUGCCGGCGACCGGCGCACGGGUGAGUAACACGUAUGCAAUCCACCUGUAACAGGGGGAUAACCCGCGGAAACGUGGACUAACACCCCAUAACACCUUUCCCCCGCAUGAGGGCGAGGUUAAAACCCCGGUGGUACGGGACGGGCACGCGCGACAUUAGGUAGUUGGCGGGGUAAACGGCCCACCAAGCCAACGAUGGGUAGCCGAGCUGAGAGGCUGAUCGGCCACACUGGAACUGAGACACGGUCCAGACUCC
rnacentral:rRNA from 1 species